rnacentral:rRNA from 1 species
UACGAAGGGGGCUAGCGUUGCUCGGAAUCACUGGGCGUAAAGCGCACGUAGGCGGCUUUCUAAGUCAGGGGUGAAAUCCUGGAGCUCAACUCCAGAACUGCCUUUGAUACUGGAGAGCUUGAGUCCGGAAGAGGUGAGUGGAACUCCGAGUGUAGAGGUGAAAAUUCGUAGAUAUUCGGAAGAACACCAGUGGCGAAGGCGGCUCACUGGUCCGGUACUGACGCUGAGGUG